rnacentral:rRNA from 2 species
GGCCGUACCAUGCUGAAUAUACCGGUUCUCGUUAGAUCACCGAAGUCAAGCAUCAUUGGGCGCGGUCAGUACUUGGGUGGGUGACCACCUGGGAACACCGCGUGCCGUU